GGUGAACGCUGGCGGCGUGCCUAACACAUGCAAGUCGAGCGGUGCAGUUUGAAGCUUCGGUGGAAAGCUGCAUAGCGGCGGACGGGUGAGGAAAACGUAGGAACGUGCCCCUUGGAGUUGGAUAGCCACGGGAAACUGUGGGUAAACCGACAUAGACUCGAGAGAGUAAAGGCCGAAAGGCGCCAAGGGAGCGGCCUGCGGCCCAUCAGGUAGUUGGUAGUGUAAAGGACUACCAAGCCGACGACGGGUAGCCGGUCUGAGAGGAUGGCCGGCCACAAGGGCACUGAGAGACGGGCCCUACUCCUACGGGAGGCAGCAGUGGGGGAUUUUGGACAAUGGGCGAAAGCCUGAUCCAGCGACGCCGCGUGGAGGACGAAGCCCUUCGGGGUGUAAACGUCCUUUUCUCAGGGAAAAAGACUGAUGGUACCUGAGGAAUAAGCCCCGGCUAACUACGUGCCAGCAGCCGCGGUAAAGUCACGUCG
rnacentral:rRNA from 1 species